rnacentral:lncRNA from 1 species
AUGGCAGCAGUUAGCGGUUUGGGGGUGCGUCUGGAGAUACAGCCUUGGCGGUCGGAGGCAAGCUGUCCCGGUCCCUCUCAGAGGACCCUGGGAAGGGAAGUGAGGAGGAGGGAUGUGAGCGCUGUGGGCCAGUCACACGCCCUUCCACUGGCACAGGAGAAAGGGGAGUCACCGGCUUCUCAUCUGGACUGGCUUUCAGCGGUGCCCGUCAGACAGGAGGCCACAUUCUCACCCCAGGGACAUCACGUGGCCAAGGGAGCUGCAUGCUGGGAGGCACAUCCGGGGCAGGUCUCACCCAGGAGUUUUUAG